GACGAACGCUGGCGGCGUGCUUAACACAUGCAAGUCGAACGGAAAGGCCCUGCUUUUGUGGGGUGCUCGAGUGGCGAACGGGUGAGUAACACGUGAGUAACCUGCCCUUGACUUUGGGAUAACUUCAGGAAACUGGGGCUAAUACCGGAUAGGAGCUCCUGCUGCAUGGUGGGGGUUGGAAAGUUUCGGCGGUUGGGGAUGGACUCGCGGCUUAUCAGCUUGUUGGUGGGGUAGUGGCUUACCAAGGCUUUGACGGGUAGCCGGCCUGAGAGGGUGACCGGCCAAAUUGGGACUGAGAUACGGCCCAGACUCCUACGGGAGGCAGCAGUGGGGAAUAUUGCACAAUGGGCGGAACCCUGAUGCAGCAACGCCGCGGGCGGGAUGACGGCCUUGGGGUUGUAAACCGCUUUCCCCUGUGACGAAGGGUGGGUGACGGUAAUGGGUAAAGAAGCACCGGCUAACUACGU
rnacentral:rRNA from 1 species